AGAAUCUUUCGCAAUGCCCGAAAGGGUGACGAAGCGACGCCGCGUGUGGGAAGAAGGCCUUCGGGUUGUAAACCACUGUCGGGAGUUAAGAAGUGUAAGGAUGUUAAUAGCGUCCUUACUUGACUAAGGCUCCGGAGGAAGCCACGGCUAACUCUGUGCCAGCAGCCGCGGUAAUACAGAGGCGGCAAGCGUUGUUCGGAAUUAUUGGGCGUAAAGAGCACGUAGGCGGCCUUGAAAGUCAGUUGUGAAAGCCUUCUGCUUAACGGAAGAACAGCAUCUGAUACUACAGGGCUUGAGUGCGGGAGGGGAGAGUGGAACUUCUGGUGGAGCGGUGAAAUGCGUAGAUAUCAGAAGGAACGCCGGCGGCGAAAGCGGCUCUCUGGCCCGUAACUGACGCUGAGUGUGCGAAAGCUAGGGGAUCAAACGGGAUUAGAUACCCCGGUAGUCCUAGCCGUAAACGAUGGGCACUAAGUAGAGGGGUUUUGAUUAUCUCUCUGCCGGAGCUAACGCAUUAAGUGCCCCGCCUGGGAAGUACGGCCGCAAGGCUAAAACUCAAAAGAAUUGACGGGGGCUCGCACAAGCGGUGGAGCAUGUGGCUUAAUUCGAUGCAACGCGAAGAACCUUACCGGGGUUUGACAUGGUAGAAGUAGGAACCAGAAAGGGUAACGAACGGUAUCCAGUCCGUAACUAUCACAGGUGUUGCAUGGCUG
rnacentral:rRNA from 1 species